UGGCCUCCGCGGCCCGUGCGAGUGCGCCCUUCUCGGGUCCCCUAGGUCGCGGGGCAGCCGGGGCGGAAGGGGCUUGUUCAUUAUUUUGAGAGUUUGUUGUGAACGUCAUAACCUUUCGUCCUUAAAUAUUGCCGAUACUUGACCUACGCAAGAGACAAUGUCAUGUGAUUCAGCCUAAUAUCUCAGAGGAUGCAGCAUUCAAGGUUCUAUCUUGGAAGCAGAGACUGUGCCCUCACCAGAUGCUGAACCUGCUGAGCACCCUGAUCUUCCACUUCACCUUCAUCAGAACUACUGGGGCUGUGGCUGAGAUGUCACAUGGCAGAUAGGAUCACAAAUUUCUGUUGUAUCUGGAUGGAGAUCAGCAGGAGGAUCUAUGGGUGAGAAGAAGCACAGUUACAGAUGGAUUCUAGAGCCUGCUUGCUGACACAGGCUUGCAACUGCGGACUUUAUAAGCUUAGUUUUUAAUCUGCUAUCAGCUAGCAUAAUACCAUAAAUGCAUAAGAAACUAAGUAUUCAGUCUUACGAGAAAUGCUAUCUUGACCUGACCCUUUCUCCAAAUAAAUUGACAAAAUAUCUCAUCGUCUAGGAUGCCAGACAGAAAUACCAGUUGCAAUGUUUUGUUGCAUAAAGUUUAUCCUAAUUUAAAUUAGUGGCAUAUAAAGUCAUCAUCUUGCUUGAACAAACAUCUUAUUAAAUUGAGCAUGUCUUUUAUCCCAUGAAAUGAAAUUAAUUUUGAGAUAGUUAUUUUUCAGUUGGAAAUUUAUUGAGUUGAUAGAAAACAAGUUAUAUAGUCUUCCAAAGAAUAUGUUACAUCCAUUUGCAUUUUGUUUUUCUUCAGCAAUGUUUGGUUUUUAGAAAAUCUUACAAGUUAAAUAUACUAAUGUAGAAAUUGAAAGAAAAUAAUCAGAGAUAGAGCAAUAAAUUUGCAAAUAAAGAUUAUUCUUAAAACAAA
rnacentral:lncRNA from 1 species